GAUCCCAAUCAGAAGCGAGAAAUCAUAGACGAUCUCGUCAUGUUCAGUAGAAAUAAAGACUAUUACAAGCGAAUUGGCAAGGCUUGGAAAAGAGGGUACCUUCUGUAUGGCCCUCCUGGCACUGGAAAAUCUUCUAUGAUAGCUGCGAUGGCCAAUUUUCUUGACUAUAGCAUCUACGAUCUGGAACUCACUGCAGUGAAGAACAAUAGCAUGCUUAGAAAGCUUCUUAUCGCUACUGAGGGUAAGUCAAUUAUUGUUAUUGAAGAUAUCGACUGCUCUCUAGAUGUAACUGAGAAAAGGAAGAAAGCAAAGAAGAAGAAGAGUAAAGAAGAAGAAGAAAAGGACGAAAUAAAAGGGAAAAAGAAGGAUGAUAACGAUAGCAAGGUGACGUUGUCAGGACUUUUGAACUUCAUCGACGGAUUGUGGUCUGCUUGUGGUGGUGAGCGCUUGAUCAUUUUUACUACUAACCAUGUGAAGAAGCUCGACCCUGCUUUGAUAAGGAGAGGGAGGAUGGAUAAGCAUAUCGAGCUUUCCUACUGUGGUUUUGAAGCUUUCAAGGUAGCUUUUUCCCAAACCUUUGUUGUUUGGAGUUUAAUAUAUCUUAUGAAUUUUGUGUCCUCACAUUCUUAACAGGUCCUUGCUUAUAACUAUCUCGACAUCAAGCAACAUCCUUUGUUCGCUGAGGUAGAGAAUCUGAUGGCAGAGGUAAAGAUUACGCCUGCUGAUGUAGCUGAGAAUUUAAUUCCAAAACAUCGAUUAGGGGAAGAAGAGGAUGCCACAAUUUGUCUUGAGAAUCUUAUCCAAACCCUCGUCGAGUUCAAGGCUAAUCCGAUCCUUGAAGAUCUUGAAUCAGAUGAUGAUGAUGAUGAGAAAAGAGAAAAAGAAACAAUUAAGAAGGAAGAUGAAGAUAAAGAAGAAGAAAAUUAAGUAUAGAUAAAUGUUUGAGAUCAAUGCUUAAAUAAUAAUAAAAGCAAGACAAAAUAGUUAUUGAUAUAUAUAUAUAGGGUAAAUAUCUGGGGCACCCUAUAUAUACACACACACACUUGAGAUCAAUGCUUCAAUAAUAAUAAAAGUCAAUAUAUUUUUUAUAAGGGAGAGUACGGUAGAAAUACCUACCCUUGGAUGAUACACCGACCAUAGCCACAUAAUAUAUCACUAGCUAAAUCAAAGUGAAGUUUUAAAAAAAAGUACAUGUGAAAGGAAGUUCAAUGCAAACUAAACUUUAUCAUUAACCAACUGAAUGUAAUCAAGAAUACAAGUUAUAUAGAACCAAAUAAAAACUGACUCUAGUAUAACUGUCAAUUAACAAACACAACUAAUAUUAGAGAGUAUUAUAAAUUUGUAGGAAUUCGCUUUUAUCUGUGUUGAAUGUUUUUGACGUGUUUGCUACAAGUACAUGACUAAGAGUGAACAUAUUGAAGAGUGAAGUAUUCCUUUCCUAUGGGACCCCCAAGGGUUUGCAACUGACAGGGGUACUGAGAAUGCCGAUAGAACAAUUCCCCACGAGAUACCUUGGACUCCUAUUGAGCCAAACGAUCCUCAGACCGAGGGAUUGUCGUUGAUUGGUAGAGAUGUCCACUUCCAUGGUGGCAAGAUGGGAGGCUUGCUCUGUCACAUGUAGGGAGACUACAAUUAUUUCAUUAGGGCAUAACCAGUAAUCUUAUGUUUUGGUGUUUGGCCUGCAGAUUACCGAGUGAGGUGCUGGGAUCGUUGAAGACGCUGGCAUAUAGAUUCUUAUGGGACGGGAAGAAGGAGGUUAGUUUUGACCAUAUGGUUUUAUUGAAGGUAUAGAGGGGAUUGGGUUCAGACGAUUCAAGGACACAAUUACAGCUUCAGUAAUGAAGAGAGCGUGGAGGAUCUGGAAUGCAGAGGAUUUUAUUUGGGUCAGAUGGAUGCGUAAGAGGUAUGCCAGAGGAAAGGAAUUUACAGACAUCCAGAGACGCAAUAGAAUUCACUCACCGGCGUGGCUAGAGAUUGUGGACAAAAGGCAAAAGAUAGGCAGGGGCAUGACGUACGGUGAGGAUUAUAUAUGUGCAUGGACAGGGAGCGGCACAUGCUUCACAUUUCAGAAUGCAUGGAAUACGAUUAAAGAGAGGAGACCAAAAGCAGACAUAGAAGUAGGGAUAUGGGCAUCGGGCAUCAACAAGUAUACUAUGACGAUGUGGAGGGCCAGUCUUUGAAAGAUCACGACAUAGGAAAAGCUGAUUGGGUGGGAGUUCCCUCAACCUAAGGAGUGUUGGUUGUGCACGAAAAAGUUGAAGAGCUUCGACCAUAUAUAUACACUUCAGAUGCAGCUAUUCUAGAGAGGUAUGGUGGCAUAUACGUAGACAUACGAGGACUUUUUGAUAUCGACAGAUGUUGGGAUCGAAUCAUAUAUGGACUGAGAAGUCACGAGAACACGACAGUUACCUGCAUGGGGCAUGUGUUGGCCUAUACUUGGGUCGACCACAUGAGAAAAAUGGGGUUAACGUACGUAACCGGAGGAAACACGAGAGAAGAUCUUUACUGACAUAAAAUCUGUCACAACGUAUAGUUGUGGAUGCACGAAUUGUUUAUGAUAGAUCUAAAUUUAAGUUUAGAAACUCCACUAUGUAGAACUCGUUAUUUGUUGUAUAGGAUAAAGGGGUUACCCAGAAUAACUCCCAACGGAUGUUACUAUUCAAUCAUUUUUUGUGGUAUAAUAAUAAAAUGGAAGGGUGGGAAUGAAAAAAUUAUAUUAUUUAAGAAUUAUUUUUGGGUGGCAAAUAUUUACAAAUUUAGAGGAGAAUUAUAAUUUUAUCAUAUCUAACAAAGAUUAAUCAUUUUUAAAGUCAGAAUCUAACAUCAACGAUGGAAAUUCCGACACAGAUAUUAAAAAUAUAGCUGCUUCGGAAUUUCCGACGUGAAUAUUAAAAUAGGACGCAUUUCAGGUGCGUUGCUGUUCAGUGCGCUAUUCAUAUCUUGUGUUAAUUUUUUUUAAUAAGAACCGUUUGUACUAAACGGUUAGGCUAUCUACUAUAAUAUAAUAUUUCAAAAUAACUAUUUAUAUUCUCGGUGCAGUUCAGAUUAUGCAUGCAAUAUUUUGUAAUAUCCAAUGGAUAAUCCUAAAAAUCCCUUAUAUUUACAAUACAUCUAAUCAGAUCAACAUUAAUUGAGCUAUAAUAUGAUAUGAAAAAGUAUUGACAUUUGAUGGUGCAUUUCAGACAAAAAGUAAUUUGUACGACAAUGUUAUAAUGGUGGUGGCAGAGAGUUUUAGUUUUCUUUCGAGAUAUGUGCAUGUAUAGUUUAAGGUGUUGUUGUUCAAAGAUUAAAAUUAAUAAACGUAAGAUUUAAAAUAAAUGAUUUGGAUGUCUUGACGUAUUUAAUUUGGCGAGCGUGCAUCAGAAAUGCUUCCUAUUAAAAUAUAACGGCUUCUAGAACCCUUAUUUAAAAUGAUUUUUAGGGGCAUUUUAGUAACUUCACACCUAAAAAGUUGGUCACCUUCUAGUGACAUGGAAAAGUCACCUUCGAGUUGUUUUCGAGUCAAACGAGUUUCGAUCAUCUUGACUGCGUUUGUGACAAUAAUGCCAAUAGAUUCAAAGAAUUUUUUUACAAAAAGAUUGAAGAUUUGUGGGAAAUCAAUUAUAUUGCAUAUCAGUAUGACGAAAUAGAUCUUCAUGAUCUUAUUAAAUUUUAUAAUUAUGUAAUUUAUGAACAACUUGUCUUUUUUUACUCUUAUUUUAACGCAAAAGAGAGGAAGAAAGGUAGAAACUGUAAACUGUUUGAAUGAAUGAUAUGACGAUUGAACAUUAAUUUAUAAUUUAAGAAAGAACUGUAUAUAUAGAGUGCUAUGGUCGGUGUUUCUUUUGAUGUUUGAACUAUAUAUAUAGAUAGAACAAGUUCAUUUAGUGAAGCAAAUCAAUCAUGUAUUUUACAAUGGAAGAUGGAUGGCUUCAACGAAUUAUGUCGAGUAUUGCGACCAUAAGUUUGGUAUGGGUUAUGCUGUCAAGGUAUUUGGAGACUUUCAAUCUCAAUGAAUACAUAUCUAUCUUAACAUCCAAACUGUUCGGUUACUUCUACCCAUACAUCAACAUCAAGUUCCCGGAGCAAGGUGGUGACAAACUCAAGAGGAGCGAAGCAUACACUGCGAUCGAGGAAUAUCUGGGGACAAUAUGUGUUGCGAAAGGUAAGAGGUUUAAGGCUGAGAUCAGAAAAGAGAAUAAGAAUUGGUAUCUUAGUAUGGAUGACAAAGAGGAGAUCAUAGACAACUUCAAUGGUAUCAAGUUCUGGUGGGGGUCAAAUUCUCAAGCUAAAACGAACACAUCAAUCUCCUUCUACCCAUCAUCUGAUGUGAAAAGGUAUAUUCUUUCAUAUCAAUCAAUUUAUCAAUUAGUUUAUGUUUGUGUAAUUGUAUGCAUGAUGACCGGAUUGUUUCAAUAAAAACAAGGCACUACCGUCUUACCUUCCAUCGUCAACACAAAGAGGUAGGUUACAUUAAGUACCUAAACCAUGUCAUAGAGACUGGGAAAAAAGAAGCUAUUAAGAAAAGACAAAGGAAACUGUAUACAAACAAUCCAGAAGAACGUGGAUAUCGAGAGAAGUUAUGGAUCCAUGUUCCCUUUGAACACCCAUCAACUUUUGAGACUCUAGCCAUGGAUCCCAAUCAGAAGCGAGAAAUCAUAGACGAUCUCGUCAUGUUCAGUAGAAAUAAAGACUAUUACAAGCGAAUUGGCAAGGCUUGGAAAAGAGGGUACCUUCUGUAUGGCCCUCCUGGCACUGGAAAAUCUUCUAUGAUAGCUGCGAUGGCCAAUUUUCUUGACUAUAGCAUCUACGAUCUGGAACUCACUGCAGUGA
rnacentral:lncRNA from 1 species